AUGAAACUUGGGUUGAGUGGCUUGUUGCCCUCGAUCGUCAACACCUUGUGAAUUGUAAAAUUGUAUUUGGCAAGUGAUGCAGCAGGCUCGCUGCAGAAUUUUCCCCUUUUCCCUCUCCCUCCCCUAGGGAAGGGAAGGGAAGGGAAGGGAGAAAAGCUUGUCCCCAUAUACUUGAACCAUAUAAUGCAUUUAAUCCUGAACAUUAAAUUUACAGAAAUACUAAAA
rnacentral:misc_RNA from 1 species